rnacentral:rRNA from 1 species
UACGAAGGGGGCUAGCGUUGUUUGGAAUUACUGGGCGUAAAGCGCGCGCAGGCGGCUAUCCAAGUCAGUGGUGAAAGCCCGGAGCUCAACUCCGGAACUGCCAUUGAAACUGUUUAGCUUGAGGAUGAGAGAGGUGAGUGGAAUUCCCAGUGUAGAGGUGAAAUUCGUAGAUAUUCGCAAGAACACCAGUGGCGAAGGCGGCUCACUGGCCCGGUACUGACGCUGAGGUGCGAAAGCGUGGGGAGCAAACAGG